rnacentral:rRNA from 1 species
GACGAACGCUGGCGGCGUGCUUAACACAUGCAAGUCGAACGGAAAGGCCCUGCUCUUGUGGGGUGCUCGAGUGGCGAACGGGUGUGUAACACGUGAGUAACCUGCCCUUGACUUUGGGAUAACUUCAGGAAACUGGGGCUAAUACCGGAUAGGAGCUCCUGCUGCAUGGUGGGGGUUGGAAAGUUUCGGCGGUUGGGGAUGGACCCGCGGCUUAUCAGCUUGUUGGUGGGGUAGUGGCUUACCAAGGCUUUGACGGGUAGCCGGCCUGAGAGGGUGACCGGCCACAUUGGGACUGAGAUACGGCCCAGACUCCUACGGGAGGCAGCAGUGGGGAAUAUUGCACAAUGGGCGGAAGCCUGAUGCAGCAACGCCGCGUGCGGGAUGACGGCCUUCGGGUUGUAAACCGCUUUCGCCUGUGACGAAGCGUGAGUGACGGUAAUGGGUAAAGAAGCACCGGCUAACUACGUG